UACGGAGGGGGCAAGCGUUGUUCGGAAUUAUUGGGCGUAAAGCGUAUGUAGGCGGCUAAGCAAGUCAGGCGUGCAAGCCCGUGGCUCAACCACGGAAUUGCGUUUGAAACUGUUUAGCUUGAGUACAGGAGAGGAAAGCGGAAUUCCCAGUGUAGCGGUGAAAUGCAUUGAUAUUGGGAAGAACAUCUGUGGCGAAGGCGGCUUUCUGGUCUGUUACUGACGCUGAGAUACGAAAGCCAGGGGAGCGAACGGGAUUAGAUACCCCGGUAGUCCUGGCUGUAAACGAUGGGCACUAGGUGCAGGAGGUAUCGAUCCCCUCUGUGCCGUAGCUAACGCGUUAAGUGCCCCGCCUGG
rnacentral:rRNA from 1 species